ACUCAAAUGAAUAGACGGGGACUCGCACAAGCGGUGGAUCAUGUGGUUUAAUUCGUCGAUAAACGAAAAACCUUACCAAGGCUAGAAAUCACUACGAAUCUUUCUGGAAACGGAAAGAGUCCGCAAGGACGGAGUGACAGGUGUUGCAUGGUUGUCGUCAGUUCGUGGUUUGAAUUGUACCCUUAAGUGGGCUAACGAACGAAACCCUCAUCGUAUGUUUUAUAUGUCAUACGAGACUGCCCGGCCCAAUGAGCACGAUUGCAAAUGCAAUCGCGACCAUCGGGCCGGGAGGAAGGCGAGGAUGACGCCAAAUCAGCAUGACCCUUGAUGCCUUGGGCUACACACGUGAUACAAUGGAUGGUACAGUAGGAAGCAAUACGGUAACGUGGAGCAAACCCCUAAAACCAUCCCUAGUUCGGAUUGAGGUCUGCAACUCGACCUCAUGAAGCUGGAAUCGCUAGUAAUCGUGGAUCAGCAGUGCCACGGUGAAUACGUUCUCGAGUCUUGUACACACCGCCCGU
rnacentral:rRNA from 1 species